ensembl:lncRNA
UUGCAGGGUGGGUCCUACGUAGACCAGACUGAUCCUGGACCAUCCCACAGAUGCUCCAUCAGAUCUGGAUGUGGGGAGUGUGGAAUCCAGAUGUUCAGAGGGAGAUGAUGCCACAUCUGGUCCAGCUGAUGGAAGGUCUUGAAGUUCUCUGACUGGCCUGGACUGAAGAUGGUCGUCUCACUGGAUUUAAGAUGCACAAUGAGGGACGUCUGCAGAGACUGAGAAAGAGUCUCACCACAUCCUGACAUGAGGAAAAAGACUUUAUUGAAGACUACAAUGAGAAAAACUAUCAGACAGCAGACGGCUGCAUUCAAGUCUGUAGCUGCUGAAUUCAUGGAUGAAUCAUCUGGCACUAGAGAGGAAGACCAUCAAACAUCCAUGUCAGCUGAUGGAGGUCCAAGAGUCUCACCCAACAAACAACCUACAGAGUGAAGACCUCCAAUCUGAUUGGACGGCCUCCUAUUCAGCCACACGCUGUUAGAUUGUUCCAGAUAAGACAAGUACAAGAUUCUUCAGAGCCGUUCUACCACGAGCCUGACAGGAAGAACUCCAACAGCUACUGAAUGUUCCUGUGGUCCCCUGAAG